rnacentral:rRNA from 1 species
GACGAACGCUGGCGGCAGGCCUAACACAUGCAAGUCGAACGAGUGGCGGACGGGUGAGUAAUGUCUGGGAAACGGCCCGAUGGAGGGGGAUAACUACUGGAAACGGUAGCUAAUACCGCAUACCAUCGGAUGUGCCCAGAUGGGAUUAGCUAGUAGGUGGGGUAAAGGCUCACCUAGGCGGCGCUCCCUAGCUGGUCGGAGAGGAGGACCAGCCACACUGGAACUGAGACACGGUCCAGACUCCUACGGGAGGCAGCAGUGGGGAAUAUUGCACAAGGGGCGCAAGCCUGAUGCAGCAAUGCCGCGGGUAUGAAGAAGGCCUUCGGGUUGUAAAGUCCUUUCAGCGAGGAGGCGUUACUCGCAGAAGAAGCACCGGCUAACUCCGUGCCAGCAGCCGCGGUAAUAC